rnacentral:lncRNA from 1 species
CUACAUGUAGGUUAAGAGAAAGUCACUGGUAGCAGGAUAAAUAAUAAGAAAAAUAAGAAUAAUACCGUUUUCCCCAAUUGUUUACACAUUAAAACUGUCACAUGAGGCACAAUGACCCAAACCUGUAACUCAUUUAGGAGAACCAGACACCAAAUCUGCAAUUCUAUAACAGAAAUUUGGCAAAACACAGCACACAGUUUUCUACCUUUGGCACAACGUUCGUAACUAAAAUCUCUUGUGUGAAAAUGAAAAGCAACACUGUUUAACAAGCUAAGCUCAAUUACUAAUUGAUCACUUUCACUCUUCACAUGUGCAAACACUAAUUGCGUAAAUGUUCACUACAAUCAGGCCUUUGGUGUGGAUAAAAAGGCUACAGGUGAGUACUCCUGUGUUUAGAGAGCAAUCAAAGCAGGAUUUACUUCAAACACAGGACAAGGCCCAAGUCCCAGUCAUUCGCAUGAAGAAGAGACUAACAUAUAGGGGUCGUAGGUCGGGUUGCCUUGUAAAAAUCUGACGGUGAGUGGGUAACGCGCCUCUACCAUCAGUCCUAUCAGCCAUCGUACAAUCAUUGAAUAAUAAACUGUAUGAGCUCCGAUCAAGACUAUCCUACCACCGGGACAUAAAAACUGUGAAAUAUUAUGUUUCACCAAGUUGUGGUUGAACGACAACAUGGAUAACAUACAGCUGGCUGGGUUUUCCGUGCAUCGGCAAGAUAGAACAGCUGCCUCCGGUAAGACAAGGGUAAGACAAGGGGUGGUGGUCUGUGUCUAUUUGUCAAUAACAGCUGGUACAUGAAAUCUAAAAUAAAUAAAGUCUUGAUGUUUUACUCGCCUGAGGUACCGGUACCCCCUGUAUAUAGCCUUGUCAGUGUUAUUUUAAUGUUGCUCUUUAAAUAUUUGUUAAUUAUUUGUUCAUUUUAUAUUUUCUUUCUUUUUUUCCUUUUUUUUUGUGUAUUUAUUGUUUAGUUCAGUUUAAUUAGUACAUACUUUCUUAAAACGUGUUUUUCUUAAACCUGCAUUAUUGGUUAAGGGCUUGUAAGUUAGCAUUUCACUCUAAAGUCUACACCUGUUGUAUUCGGCUCAUCUGAUAAAUACAAUUUGAUUUGAUUUAGUACAUCGUAAAGCACAGUAAAAACUGUAAAAAAAGUAAAUGUUUAUUGUAUUACUGUGUGUAUGAAAUUGGGAGCUAUAUUACUUUGUAAUAUGUUUAACUUGUAUACUGUAUUACUGUAGUGUAAAGUACAACUGAAAGAUGACCACCACAUGGUGGUAGAACGCAUCUGUUUACAGAUGAACAGGAGGCUGCCAUUGUGCAAAUAGUAGUUGAAAAUGAUGCCAUAAGACUGCGGAAAAUCCAACAACAGAUUACUGAAAACCCUGCCAUCUUCCAUAACAUCAAAGUGAGCUUAUCAACCCUAGCCCACAUCCUUAAGAAACACCAUCUCCGGAUAAAGCAAAUCUACAGAGUCCCAUUUGAAAGGAAUUCCCAAAGAGUGAAGGAUAAAUGGUACGAGUCUGUGCACAGAAUCAUGGAGUUGGAUGCAAGUCCCACCCCCGAGGAACUCAUAUUCAUAGAUGAGGCUGGAUUCAAUUUAGCGAAGACAAGGAAGGAACAUCAUUGGUCAGCAAGCCAUCAUUGAGGUACCUGGCUAGCGCGGGGGAUGUCACCAUAUGUGCAGCUAUGAGACACAAUGGGAUCCUCCACCGCCAAGCCACCCUUGGACCAUACAACACUGCCCAUCUCCUUCAUUUCCUGAACACCUUACAUGACCAUAUGUUACAGCCAGAGCAAAGAGGGCCAGGUGAUCCUGAGAAGCAAAUGUUCUAAUUUGGGACAACGUGACGUUCCUUCGGGCUGCUCAGGUCCGCAACUGGUUCCAUGACCAUCCCAGGUUUACAAUUCUCUAUCUCCCACCAUAUUCCCCAUUUCUCAACCCCAUUGAGGAGUUGUUUUCAGCAUGGCGGUGGUGUAUGAUCACAAACCCCAUGAACGUUUGGUCCUUCUCCAGGCUGUGGAGGAGGCCUGUCGUGACAUCCCAGCAGAGUCCUGUCAGGGGUGAAUGCGUCAUGCCAGAAGAAAUGUCCCCCGCUGUCUGGCCAAGGUGAAAAUCGCCUGUGAUGUUGAUGAAAAUCUGUGGCCGGACCAAAACAACAGACAGAUUCUGUUUUUGUAUUGGAGUAUUUGUUUCUUGACUUAUGAUUUUACUGUAUUUUGACCGUUUCUUUAUCUAUUCAGUACAAUUUAUCUAAAAUACAGUACAGUACCACAAAUAGGCGUAUUUUUCUUCCUUUGCAUAUGCAAAAUAUAUUUACUGUAUGUUUGCAUUUUUACUGCAUGUCUGCUUAAAGUAUGCUGCAUGACAUGCGUUGAGUCAUGUUGAAAUAUACAACUUACAUUUUUGCAUUUGUUACUUUCUUGUUUGAGUACACUCAAACAAUAUACAGUAUAACAACAAAAUGUUAGUCUUUACACUGAAAUAGGUUCUGAUAGUAGUGUUUUGAAUGUCACACUAGUGUGUUCUCAGUUGUCAGUAAGUUAGAUUUAUUUGAUAUGUGUGUGUGUGUCUCAUUUGUAUGAAGAGUUUCAUUUUAAGCAGGGAGUACAUGAUUUUGAUUGCUGUGUUUCAUUUUGCAAGAUGUCUGUGCGGUUUAGGGAAAUUGGCUAAAUGUUUUGUGUUUUAUUUUUAUAGUUUUGAGUACCUGAGAUGUGGUUUCAGUAAACGAGUGUUAACAAUUGAAAUUG